UACGUAGGGGGCAAGCGUUGUCCGGAUUUAUUGGGCGUAAAGCGCACGCAGGCGGUCUUUCGCGUUUUGAGUGACAGGUGGGGGCUUAACUCCCACAGGUCUCAGAAUACGGGAAGACUUGAGGGCUUCAGAGGGACGCGGAAUUCCAGGUGGAGCGGUGAAAUGCGCAGAUAUCAGGAGGAACACCCGUAGCGAAGGCGGCACUCUGGGCCGAUACUGACACUGAGGAGCGAAAGCGUGGGGAGCGAACAGG
rnacentral:rRNA from 1 species